rnacentral:rRNA from 1 species
CUUUGAUUCUGGCUCAGGACGAACGCUGGCGGCGUGCUUAACACAUGCAAGUCGAACGAGAAUCUGCGGAACGAGGAUUCGUCCAAGUGAAGCAGAGGACAGUGGCGGACGGGUGAGUAACGCGUGAGGAACCUGCCUUUCAGAGGGGGACAACAGUUGGAAACGACUGCUAAUACCGCAUGACACAUAGAUGUCGCAUGGCAUUUAUGUCAAAGAUUUAUCGCUGAAAGAUGGCCUCGCGUCUGAUUAGCUAGUUGGUGAGGUAACGGCCCACCAAGGCGACGAUCAGUAGCCGGACUGAGAGGUUGAACGGCCACAUUGGGACUGAGAUACGGCCCAGACUCCUACGGGAGGCAGCAGUGGGGAAUAUUGGGCAAUGGGCGCAAGCCUGACCCAGCAACGCCGCGUGAAGGAAGAAGGCUUUCGGGUUGUAAACUUCUUUUGUC